GAUGAACGCUGGCGGCGUGCUUAACACAUGCAAGUCGAACGGUGAAGCGGGAGCUUGCUCUUGUGGAUCAGUGGCGAACGGGUGAGUAACACGUGAGCAACCUGCCCCUGACUCUGGGAUAAGCGCUGGAAACGGCGUCUAAUACUGGAUAUGUGAUGUGACCGCAUGGUCUGCAUCUGGAAAGAAUUUCGGUUGGGGAUGGGCUCGCGGCCUAUCAGCUUGUUGGUGAGGUAAUGGCUCACCAAGGCGUCGACGGGUAGCCGGCCUGAGAGGGUGACCGGCCACACUGGGACUGAGACACGGCCCAGACUCCUACGGGAGGCAGCAGUGGGGAAUAUUGCACAAUGGGCGGAAGCCUGAUGCAGCAACGCCGCGUGAGGGAUGACGGCCUUCGGGUUGUAAACCUCUUUUAGCAGAGAAGAAGCGAAAGUGACGGUACCUGCAGAAAAAGCACCGGCUAACUACGUGCCAGCCGCCGCGGUAA
rnacentral:rRNA from 1 species